rnacentral:rRNA from 1 species
UACGUAGGGUGCGAGCGUUAAUCGGAAUUACUGGGCGUAAAGCGUGCGCAGGCGGUUAUUUAAGUCAGGUGUGAAAACCCCGGGCUCAACCUGGGAAUUGCAUUUGAGACUGAAUAGCUAGGGUGCGGAAGAGGGAAGCGGAAUUUCCGGUGUAGCGGUGAAAUGCGUAGAUAUCGGAAGGAACACCAGUGGCGAAGGCGGCUUUCUGGGCCUUACCUGACGCUGAGACGCGAAAGCGUGGGGAGCGAACCGG